GGCGGAGCAGUGGAGCCGUCUCACAGGUGGCGCAGAGCAUGGGGAAUCCUCCUGAUCGAGGUAGAAGGCCCUGUGCCCCGCUGAAGGUCUUUCUGAAUCGUCAGGUGAGGAAGAUGUUUUGAGAGGAACUGACACAGUCUCAGGCGCCCCAUAGUGUCUCCAGGAGAGCUCCAGAGCAUAACUCCAAAGACUCCUGUCUCCAAGAAGUCUACUCAAAGAAGGGCUGGCCACCUCUUCCCAGGGCAGCCCCACUGUUCUACUUAGAUGGAAGGCAAGUUUCUUCCACCAUACGGCAUGGACACCCUUCCAAGAUGGCAGUCCCCAUGGAGCAGCGCCACUUGCGAACAGUCAUAUUCUGAGCCCAACAGAACUGGGGAUGGUAAGGAAACUUUCACAGACUGCUCGGUAACUGCGCCCUGUUGACUGCAGACCGUAGCUUCGCAGGUGCUUUUGAGCAUGCGCACCAAACACCUGCCC